GACGAACGCUGGCGGCGUGCUUAACACAUGCAAGUCGAACGGAAAGGCCCUGCUUUUGUGGGGUGCUCGAGUGGCGAACGGGUGAGUAACACGUGAGUAACCUGCCCUUGACUUUGGGAUAACUUCAGGAAACUGGGGCUAAUACCGGAUAGGAGCUCCUGCUGCAUGGUGGGGGUUGGUAAGUUUCGGCGGUUGGGGAUGGACUCGCGGCUUAUCAGCUUGUUGGUGGGGUAGUGGCUUACCAAGGCUUUGACGGGUAGCCGGCCUGAGAGGGUGACCGGCCACAUUGGGACUGAGAUACGGCCCAGACUCCUACGGGAGGCAGCAGUGGGGAAUAUUGCACAAUGGGCGGAAGCCUGAUGCAGCAACGCCGCGUGCGGGAUGACGGCCUUCGGGUUGUAAACCACUUUCGCCUGUGACGAAGCGUGAGUGACGGUAAUGGGUAAAGAAGCACCGGCUAACUACGUG
rnacentral:rRNA from 1 species